GAUAAACGCUGACAGAAUGCUUAACACAUGCAAGUCGAGGGGCAGCAUGAGACGGAGAUUCGUCGAAGUCUCGAUGGCGACCGGCGCAAGGGUGCGUAACGCGUGAGCAACUUGCCCGUUUCAGGGGGAUAACCGGUGGAAACGCCGACUAAUACCCCAUGGUAUGUUUUUGAGGCAUCUCUUAAACAUUAAAGAAUUUCGGAAACGGAUAGGCUCGCGUGACAUUAGCUAGAUGGCGGGGUAACGGCCCACCAUGGCGACGAUGUCUAGGGGUUCUGAGAGGAAGGUCCCCCACACUGGAACUGAGAUACGGCCCAG
rnacentral:rRNA from 1 species